AGCACGAUGGUGUAAUUGGAUAACACAGUAGCCUCAUGAGCUAUUAAUUCAUGUUCAAAUCAUGAUUGUGCAC
rnacentral:tRNA from 1 species